UACGUAGGGGGCAAGCGUUGUCCGGAAUCAUUGGGCGUAAAGCGCGUGUAGGCGGUCCGGUAAGUCGGCUGUGAAAGUCCAGGGCUCAACCCUGAGAGGCCAUUCGAUACGGGACGGCUAGAGGCAGGUAGGGGAAAGUGGAAUUCCUGGUGUAGCGGUGAAAUGCGCAGAUAUCAGGAGGAACACCGGUGGCGAAGGCGGCUUUCUGGGCCUUGCCUGACGCUGAGGAGCGAAAGCUGGGGGAGCGAACAGGAUUAGAUACCCUGGUAGU
rnacentral:rRNA from 1 species